rnacentral:rRNA from 1 species
CAGUAGCCACGGUAAUACGAAGGGUGCAAGCGUUAAUCGGAAUUACUGGGCGUAAAGCGUGCGUAGGCGGUUUGUUAAGUCUGCUGUGAAAUCCCCGGGCUCAACCUGGGAAUGGCAGUGGAUACUGGCAAGCUAGAGUGUGUCAGAGGAUGGUGGAAUUCCCGGUGUAGCGGUGAAAUUCGUAGAGAUCGGGAGGAACAUCAGUGGCGAAGGCGGCCAUCUGGGACAACACUGACGCUGAGGCACGAAAGCGUGGGGAGCAAACAGGAUUAGAUACCCCCGUAGUCCCUGUCUCUUAUCC